rnacentral:lncRNA from 1 species
CAUUGAGACUCUGUCUCUAAAUAAAAUACAAAAUAGGGGUUGGGGUUUUGGCUCAGUGGUUGAGUGCCCCUGAGUUAAUUCCGUUGAACCAAAAAAAUAAAAAUAAAAAGAGAGAGAGAGAGAGAGAAAACUCUAGGAAAGGCAGCAGAACACAUCAGACACUAGUAUGGCAAUAUGUAAAACAGUGGAUGUGGUAACCGAUGUGAUUCUGCAAUCUGUAUACGGGGUAAAAAUGGGAGUUCAUAACCCACUUGAAUCAAAUGUAUGAAAUAUGAUAUGUCAAGAACUAUGUAAUGUUUUGAACAACCAAUAAUAAAAAUUAAAAAAAAACUCUCGAGUUUCUCUAGCAAACACAAUCUCUAGCAAAUAAAGGGAAACAUCACAGCGGGGAGCCUGUAUAUCAAGAGAAAUUAAAAGACAUUUUAUGUAACAUACAGAUCUUGUUUAGAUGCUGAUUUGAACAAAUAAAAUUUUUAAAAAUUAUGAGACAUUUUGGAAAUUGAAUAUUGAAUGGACAUUGAAUGAUGUUAAAGAAUUAUGAUUAGCUUUAAAAAUAUGAUGUGUGUAGUGGCUGUGUUUUUAAAAGUCUUUCAAAAAA